UGCCAGCAGCCGCGGUAAUACGUAGGGAGCGAGCGUUAUCCGGAAUUAUUGGGCGCGCAGGCGGUCUUGUCCGUCAGGUGUGAAAGCUCGGGGCUCAACCCCGGAAGUGCACUUGAAACAGCAAGACUUGAAUACGGUAGAGGAGAGAGGAAUUCCUGGUGUAGAGGUGAAAUUCGUAGAUAUCAGGAGGAACACCGAUGGCGAAGGCAUCUCUCUGGGUCGAUAUUGACGCUGAGGCGCGAAGGCGUGGGUAGCGAACGGGAUUAGAUA
rnacentral:rRNA from 1 species